GAAACGACGAGCAGAGUGAAUAGUGGCAAAUAGAAAUUGGCCACUAUUUUGGCCUUUUCACCUAAGGAGGCGAUAAUUUAAAGUUCUAACUCUAACAGUGUUAAGGUGGUAGAAUAGCAUCAGACUCCCGCUAUAAAGCGAUUUUACUGUCAGAAACAUAUAAUUUUGAUUGUUUAAAUUGUCAUAAAUGCCUAAAAAAGGAAAGUCCAAAUUAAAUUUGGUGACGUCUAAAUCAAAGUAUAUGAAAGCCAAGCGUGCAUGUGAAAGUCAAGAUGAAACGGAAAAUAGAUUACAAAAAGAACAAAAAAGGAAACAAGCUUUACGACGAAUGAAUUCAAAAAUUCUUUGUAAAGUAAAAGUUGAAAGUAAAAAUAAUUAAUGUAUGACCCCUCAGUUGAUUAAAAACAAGAAUAAAAAUUAAGUUGUAAGGCUUAUGGUGACACAAAAUGAAUUUAAUAGCUCAUGUUGUUAUCGCCAGAUAUCUAAUAAAUUCUGGGUUGAUAUGUACUCUAAAACUUAAAGUGAACAAUUUCCAUUAGCAUAAGGUUUACUGGCGGUCCACUAUGACACCGAAUUCAAACUAUACAGGAAGAAAUAACUCGAGAACUAUACGAAGGACAAUCUUCAUCAGACAGAUGUGACAUUGUAUCUAGAAUUUUUUAAUUAAAA